rnacentral:rRNA from 1 species
AACGAACGCUGGCGGCAUGCCUAACACAUGCAAGUCGAACGAGACCUGCGGGUCUAGUGGCGCACGGGUGCGUAACGCGUGGGAACCUGCCCUUAGGUUCGGAAUAACUCCCCGAAAGGGGUGCUAGUACCGGAUAAUGUCUUCGGACCAAAGAUUUAUCGCCUUUGGAUGGGCCCGCGUUGGAUUAGCUAGUUGGUAGGGUAAAAGCCUACCAAGGCGACGAUCCAUAGCUGGUCUGAGAGGAUGAUCAGCCACACUGGGACUGAGACACGGCCCAGACUCCUACGGGAGGCAGCAGUGGGGAAUAUUGGACAAUGGGCGAAAGCCUGAUCCAGCAAUGCCGCGUGAGUGAUGAAGGCCUUAGGGUUGUAAAGCUCUUUUACCCGGGAUGAUAAUGACAGUACCGGGAGAAUAAGCUCCGGCUAACUCCGUG